rnacentral:rRNA from 2 species
CCUGAUUGAUUUGGUCGCCAACGAGUGGCGGACGGGUGAGUAACACGUAGGUAACCUGCCCAGAAGCGGGGGACAACAUUUGGAAACAGAUGCUAAUACCGCAUAACAACGUUGUUCGCAUGAACAACGCUUAAAAGAUGGCUUCUCGCUAUCACUUCUGGAUGGACUGCGGUGCAUUAGCUUGUUGGUGGGGUAAUGGCCUACCAAGGCGAUGAUGCAUAGCCGAGUUGAGAGACUGAUCGGCCACAAUGGGACUGAGACACGGCCCAUACUCCUACGGGAGGCAGCAGUAGGGAAUCUUCCACAAUGGGCGCAAGCCUGAUGGAGCAACACCGCGUGAGUGAAGAAGGGUUUCGGCUCGUAAAGCUCUGUUGUUAAAGAAGAACACGUAUGAGAGUAACUGUUCAUACGUUGACGGUAUUUAACCAGAAAGUCACGGCUAACUACGUGCCAGCAGCCGCGGUAAUACGUAGGUGGCAAGCGUUAUCCGGAUUUAUUGGGCGUAAAGAGAGUGCAGGCGGUUUUCUAAGUCUGAUGUGAAAGCCUUCGGCUUAACCGGAGAAGUGCAUCGGAAACUGGAUAACUUGAGUGCAGAAGAGGGUAGUGGAACUCCAUGUGUAGCGGUGGAAUGCGUAGAUAUAUGGAAGAACACCAGUGGCGAAGGCGGCUACCUGGUCUGCAACUGACGCUGAGACUCGAAAGCAUGGGUAGCGAACAGGAUUAGAUACCCUGGUAGUCCAUGCCGUAAACGAUGAGUGCUAGGUGUUGGAGGGUUUCCGCCCUUCAGUGCCGGAGCUAACGCAUUAAGCACUCCGCCUGGGGAGUACGACCGCAAGGUUGAAACUCAAAGGAAUUGACGGGGGCCCGCACAAGCGGUGGAGCAUGUGGUUUAAUUCGAAGCUACGCGAAGAACCUUACCAGGUCUUGACAUCUUGCGCCAACCCUAGAGAUAGGGCGUUUCCUUCGGGAACGCAAUGACAGGUGGUGCAUGGUCGUCGUCAGCUCG